GAUGAAGAACGCAGUGAAAUGCGAUACGUAAUGUGAAUUGCAGAAUUCAGUGAAUCAUCGAGUCUUUGAACGCACAUUGCGCCACCUGGUAUUCCGGGGGGCAUGCCUGUCCGAGCGUCAUUGCUGCCCUCAAGCACGGCUUGUGUGUUGGGCCUCCGUCCUCCUCCCGGGGGACGGGCCCGAAAGGCAGCGGCGGCACCGCGUCCGGUCCUCGAGCGUAUGGGGCUUCGUCACCCGCUCUUGUAGGCCCGGCCGGCGCUUGCCGACACAUCAAUCUUUUUUCCAGGUUGACCUCGGAUCAGGUAGGGAUACCCGCUGAACUUAAGCAUAUCAAUAAGCGGAGGA
rnacentral:misc_RNA from 1 species